rnacentral:rRNA from 1 species
GAGUAUGUAUGUACUUUCCCUUCGGGGCAGGAGUGACAGGUGGUGCAUGGUUGUCGUCAGCUCGUGUCGUGAGAUGUUGGGUUAAGUCCCGCAACGAGCGCAACCCCUGUCCUUAGUAGCCAGCAGUAAGAUGGGCACUCUAGGGAGACUGCCAGGGAUAACCUGGAGGAAGGCGGGGAUGACGUCAAAUCAUCAUGCCCCUUAUGACUUGGGCUACACACGUGCUACAAUGGGGUAAACAAAGGGAAGCAAUCCCGUGAGGGGGAGCAAAUCCCAAAAAUAACGUCUCAGUUCGGACUGUAGUCUGCAACCCGACUACACGAAGCUGGAAUCGCUAGUAAUCGCGAAUCAAAAUGUCGCGGUGAAUACGUUCCCGGGUCUUGUACACACCGA